rnacentral:rRNA from 1 species
CGGCGGACGGGUGAAUAACGCGUGGGUAACCUGCCUCAUACAGGGGGAUAACAGUUGGAAACGGCUGCUAAUACCGCAUAAGCGCACAGUACCGCAUGGUACGGUGUGAAAAACUCCGGUGGUAUGAGAUGGACCCGCGUCUGAUUAGGUAGUUGGUGGGGUAACGGCCUACCAAGCCGACGAUCAGUAGCCGACCUGAGAGGGUGACCGGCCACAUUGGGACUGAGACACGGCCCAA